rnacentral:rRNA from 1 species
UACGAAGGGGGCUAGCGUUGUUCGGAAUCACUGGGCGUAAAGCGCACGCAGGCGGAUCGUUAAGUCAGGGGUGAAAUCCCGAGGCUCAACCUCGGAACUGCCUUUGAUACUGGCGAUCUUUGAGUCCGGGAGAGGUGAGUGGAACUCCGAGUGUAGAGGUGAAAUUCGUAGAUAUUCGGAAGAACACCAGUGGCGAAGGCGGCUCACUGGCCCGGUACUGACGCUCAGGUGCGAAAGCGUGGGAGCAACAGGG